AGAAGAACAGGUUCAAAAAUGAAGAUCACACUUGUGUCUUCGAUAACAUUCCUUCCUUUUGAUCUAUGAACUGGCUAUGCUACAGGGCUCCCCCGUGGCCGCGGUGUCUAUAAGAGAUCCACCUCCGCCGUCAUCAAACCCCAAAGCCCGGUUCAAGAUGAAGACAGCUGAUACCAGUAUGUCUCAUGAUCAUGUACGAAGUGGCAGGCUUAGACGGUGGAUACACAGGCAUUGCUUCUGCAAUUGCCGGGGCAAUAUUACCUCCUCAAGUAGGUGUUUCGGCUAUGCCUGGUAGAGCUCCAUCACCACCCCCCAAGAGCCGUGAUCCUGCUCAUCCUUUCAUAUCUCCUAAUUGCCCACCACCGGUACUACCACAUUGCUAGUUGCCAGAGCUUUGAGCUAUCUAUCUUGAAAUCUCAACCUUCACAUCUGCCAUAUCAAAUACUCGACCUUUCAGUUUCACUACCUAAUUACCAUUUGUCGUCUUCUUCUACAUGUCAAAGUCUGAGCAGUUGUAACAUUACCAUUAUCUCUACUUAGUACUUGCAUUAUGUGUUGAAUGCGUCAGAGUUUCCUAGCUGCUUCCCACCUACUAAUAUGUCAUUUAUCAAUGCUAAUCGCUUUACUGGUCUGGCAACCAACCGACAUAUGAUAUGAGGCAACGCUUUCUUCUCCUCAAACUCAUAGAACUAGGAUUGAUAUCCUCCUCCUGAUUGUUACUAGCUUUUUCGCUUCAAUAUUCAAGGGUGUGUUUUCUCCACCCAUGAGAAAAGUUCAUCAUUAUUUGCUUAGCUUGCUUUUGAUCCAUGAAAUCCUGCUGAUUCAGCAGGGAUGUGUGAACAAAGCCUAUGUCGCCUUGGCAGCAGCAAGAGUUUUAGAAGAACCCUUCUCAGCUUUGGCUUUUGAUGCACCGCCUUCUUUUUCCCACGAUGCUCUGUCUCACUAUGAUUUCAGGGCAGCACUGCGAGGGCGAACUAGGAGACCUAGGCUUUCUCCACCAUCUCCAGUUAUCAAUAUCCCUAUUCAUUUCAAGAGUCCACCACCGUCGCCUCCAUCUCAUCCACCGCCGUCGCCGCCACUAGCACCGGCACCGCCGCCACCAUGUUAAAUUGUUUAUGUAUGUUGGUUGGAACAGUCAGAACUAUAUAUGUAUCCAGAAGUGCACCCAUGUAUUGCUUCAAACAAAAUCAUCGGGCUCUUAUUAGUGCUUUGAUCUCCCUGUGUCUUUCUUAAUUUCCAAUAAAAAUUGAAACACUGGCUCCUAGUGUUAAUAAUUAUCACUUCAAUCUGUAUGUCGUAGCAGUUUUUACAUUACUUAAUUAUAUGAUAUUCCUUUUUUCAAGUUUUGUGGUGGA